CUGCUCCCGCGACUGACUUCUGACCUCUGCGACUCGCCGCGGAGUAAAGGGUGCGUCCCAGAUUUCACAAGCGUGCUUCAGCUACAAGGAGUGAGAAAUGAAGGAAUCACAGAGGCUAUAGUUGUGUUGCAGAGAGCAGCUUUGAGCAGCUGGCUACAGGUUCACAUAUCAUGGGCAGGCUGAAAACAAAAGAUCUUCUUACAGGCUGAAGUCUAUGCGCAGAUCAUUCACGUUAAGCUGCAAGCUAAUGUGUUGUGCACAAAAUGAAUAAAGGGGAUCUGCAUACAGCCUGACAUCAGCAUUCAUUUCUCUAUUUUAUCUGGGUCAACCAGAAAGGCUCCAAACUGACUCUGUGGUCUAAAGGAGAAUAAAAUAUUUGCUUUAAAAAA